GAUGAACGCUGGCGGCGUGCCUAAUACAUGCAAGUCGAGCGAACGGACGAGAAGCUUGCUUCUCUGAUGUUAGCGGCGGACGGGUGAGUAACACGUGGAUAACCUACCUAUAAGACUGGGAUAACUUCGGGAAACCGGAUCUAAUACCGGAUAAUAUUUUGAACCGCAUGGUUCAAAAGUGAAAGACGGUCUUGCUGUCACUUAUAGAUGGAUCCGCGCUGCAUUAGCUAGUUGGUAAGGUAACGGCUUACCAAGGCAACGAUGCAUAGCCGACCUGAGAGGGUGAUCGGCCACACUGGAACUGAGACACGGUCCAGACUCCUACGGGAGGCAGCAGUAGGGAAUCUUCCGCAAUGGGCGAAAGCCUGACGGAGCAACGCCGCGUGAGUGAUGAAGGUCUUCGGAUCGUAAAACUCUGUUAUUAGGGAAGAACAUAUGUGUAAGUAAAUGUGCACAUCUUGACGGUACCUAAUCAGAAAGCCACGGCUAACUACGUG
rnacentral:rRNA from 1 species